rnacentral:rRNA from 1 species
UACAGAGGGGGCAAGCGUUGUUCGGAAUUACUGGGCGUAAAGGGCGCGUAGGCGGCCUGUUAAGUCGAACGUGAAAUCCCCGGGCUCAACCCGGGAACUGCGUCCGAUACUGGCAGGCUUGAAUCCGGGAGAGGGAUGUGGAAUUCCAGGUGUAGCGGUGAAAUGCGUAGAUAUCAGGAGGAACACCGGUGGCGAAGGCGGGUCUCUGGGCCGUAACUGACGCUGAGGAGCGAAAGCGUGGGGAGCGUACAGG